rnacentral:rRNA from 1 species
UACGGGGGGGGCAAGCGUUGUUCGGAAUUAUUGGGCGUAAAGGGCGGGUAGGCGGCCACCGCAAGUCAGUUGUGAAAUCUCUGGGCUUAACCCAGAAAGGUCAACUGAUACUGCGGGGCUAGAGUGCAGAAGGGGCAACUGGAAUUCUCGGUGUAGCGGUGAAAUGCGUAGAUAUCGAGAGGAACACCUGCGGCGAAGGCGGGUUGCUGGGCUGACACUGACGCUGAAGCGCGAAAGCCAGGGGAGCGAACGGG